UUCCGGUUGAUCCCGCCGGACCUGACUGCUAUCGGAUUGAUACUAAGCCAUGCGAGUCUUUGUAGUAAUACAAGGCAGACGGCUCAGUAACACGUAGUCAACCUACCCUAUGGACAAGAAUAAUCUCGGGAAACUGGGCAUAAUUCUUGAUAGAUCAUAAUGCCUGGAAUGGUUUAUGGUUAAAAUGAUUCGUCGCCAUAGGAUGGGACUGCGGCCUAUCAGCUUGUUGGUGAGGUAAUGGCCCACCAAGGCGAUUACAGGUACGGGCUCUGAGAGGAGAAGCCCGGAGAUGGGUACUGAGACACGGACCCAGGCCCUAUGGGGCGCAGCAGGCGAGAAAACUUUGCAAUGUGCGAAAGCACGACAAGGUUAAUCCGAGUGAUUUCUGCUAAAGAAAUCUUUUGCCAGUCAUAAAACCACUGGUGAAUAAGGGGUGGGCAAGUUCUGGUGUCGGCCGCCGCGGUAAAACCAGCACCUCAAGUGGUCAGGAUGAUUAUUGGGCCUAAAGCAUCCGUAGCCGGCUUUGUUAGUUUUCGGUUAAAUCCAUGUGCUCAACGCAUGGGCUGCCGAAAAUACUGCAUAGCUAGGGAGUGGGAGAGGUAGACGGUACUCAGUAGGAAGGGGUAAAAUCCUUUGAUCUAUUGAUGACCACCUGUGGCGAAGGCGGUCUACCAGAACACGUUCGACGGUGAGGGAUGAAAGCUGGGGGAGCAAACCGGAUUAGAUACCCGGGUAGUCCCAGCUGUAAACGAUGCAGACUCGAUGAUGCAUUGGCAUAAUAGCCAGUGCAGUGUCGCAGGGAAGCCGUUAAGUCUGCCGCCUGGGAAGUACGUACGCAAGUAUGAAACUUAAAGGAAUUGGCGGGGGAGCACCACAAGGGGUGAAGCCUGCGGUUCAAUUGGAAUCAACGCCGGA
rnacentral:rRNA from 1 species